UGGGCAGCUCCAGGGGGAAACGAGCCCAUUUGGCUAACAAUGGCGACUCCGCCGGGACUUCUCUCCCUGUAGAGGGCGCUGACCGGCGGCCGAGGGCGAUUCCGAGGAGUGGCCACCUCGAGCUGUUGGUUUGCUCGAGCCUCGGAUCGUCACAAUCGGCCGGGGCGGCUGCGUCCUCUCUGAAGAGAACUCUGAAGGACACGGAGGCAAGACGGCUUCAGAGGAAGGGGAAGUCUGACUGCCGGACGCGGCCACUUCGGGCGGAAAGUGCGUUUACCUCCUGGGUUUGAGGAAUAACGCCCCCGAGGUGUGAGUUGGACGGUGGAAAUCCCCUAGGCAGCCUGUAUACGGGAAGCUGCAUCGAUACGCGGUGCCUUUUCAGGCCCUUCCCUUAAACCAGCCCAUGCACCCGUUCCAGAUCGGUGAUCAGGUCCUUGUCAAGAAGUGGAAGCGUGACCCCCUCACACCACGGUGGGACGGCCCGCACACUGUCUCGCUCAUCAGCCAAGCUGCAGUUAAAGUUCUUGGGAGUAACAAAUGAACACACCAUACGCGGGUAAAGCGGUUUCUGAACCCUAACCC